rnacentral:lncRNA from 1 species
CCAACAACACCAAUAUAUAUCUCUUCCAUGUGCCUUAAGAAACAUGAAAGUAAUGAAACAGAUGGUGAAAGCUGCAAGAGGGGGUCCAGCAUACAGAUGGAAUCAAACUAUUUUCAAUCUUUUAAGGGGCGGGAGGGAGGGGAGAAGAGAUGCAGGGGGGAGGGGCGUAUGUAAGAUUCCAGUGGGGUGUGAAGACAUGCAGCGGCGGUCCUCCUAUAUAGGUGUCACUGCUGGGAACUUGAGAAAAGGAGUGGGGGAGCAUAGGGAAGAUGUUGGGGAGGGAAACAUAUCUACAGCCCUGUCGGC